rnacentral:rRNA from 1 species
AUGCAUGAAUUCCAUUGGACUCGGAUAAGAAAUGGAACAAUGAAUAUGUGCACAUGCAUAAAUUCCAUCGGACUCAGAUCAGUCAAAUUCAGUAGCGACAUUAUUCUCCAAGGUCAACGGUUACAUCACCUAAGAAAUCCUAAAAAGGAAGAGGUGAGACCAUGGGAGGCAACAGAGGUCAGUAGUCAUAACCUGGACUUGACGGCGGUUGUGGCAACGAUACUGUGCAUGUCAGUCCUACUUGCGGCAGCUCGAGCCCAAGGCAUCCAAGAAGAAACCAUGCAUGUAUGGAAUGAACGUCUGCACAGACAGAUUGUGUAUAAAUGA